GGCCGCUGCCCAGAUCCUUGGGCGUUUCCUCCCUAGACUUAGGGCCGUGUCAGUCUGCUGGCGCGGCCUUUUUUUUGCGCCGG
rnacentral:sRNA from 1 species